AGUGAACGCUGGCGGUAGGCCUAACACAUGCAAGUCGAACGGCAGCACAGUAAGAGCUUGCUCUUACGGGUGGCGAGUGGCGGACGGGUGAGGAAUACAUCGGAAUCUACUUUUUCGUGGGGGAUAACGUAGGGAAACUUACGCUAAUACCGCAUACGACCUACGGGUGAAAGCAGUGGAUCUUCGGACCUUGCGCGAUUGAAUGAGCCGAUGUCGGAUUAGCUAGUUGGCGGGGUAAAUGCCCACCAAGGCGACGAUCCGUAGCUGGUCUGAGAGGAUGAUCAGCCACACUGGAACUGAGACACGGUCCAGACUCCUACGGGAGGCAGCAGUGGGGAAUAUUGGACAAUGGGCGCAAGCCUGAUCCAGCCAUACCGCGUGGGUGAAGAAGGCCUUCGGGUUGUAAAGCCCUUUUGUUGGGAAAGAAAAGCAGCAGGUUAAUACCCCGCUGUUCUGACGGUACCCAAAGAAUAAGCACCGGCUAACUUCGUG
rnacentral:rRNA from 1 species